UUUUGAAUAUAGUACAGCCUAAGAGCGUUUUCACACGAGACACGAUACGACACGACAAAAUGCGGUGACGACUCCGGGCGCCAUACAUUUCUAUGUACC